AUUCCUCACAAUAACCAGAUAGCCUCUGCUUUCUUUUUCCUUUCUUCGGAAUGAGAGACUCAACCAUAAUAGAAAGAAUGAAGAACUAUUAACCACCUUUCUUCAGUGGGCUGUGAUUUUCAGAGGGGAAUACUAAGAAAUGGUUUUUCGUACUGGAACUCAAAGGUAAAGACACUCAAGGACAGACAUUUUUGGCAGAGGUAAGAUCUUCUUUGGUCACCAUACUUGAGUUAGCCCUGGGGAAGUGGACAUUUCCAUGCAGAAUCCUAAAGCUUCUUCCAGGCCAUAGUGUCUGUCCUACACCUUCUGGUGUCUCUUGAUAUGCAGGAGAGAUGAAAAUGGCAAGUUCCCUGGCCUGCCUUCUGCUCAACUUUCAUGUCUCCGUCUUCUUGGUCCAGCUGCUCACUCCUUGCUCAGGUAGGGAAUGAUUCCACGAUUCCACAUUUAUGUUUCUGAAGCAGACAAUUAUCUCAAUUACCUAAUUAAGCAGACAAUUACCUAAAUGCCCUCUUAGAACCUUUAACUCAUUCCCAUACCUGGAAGUCCAUCCCAACCUGAAGGA
rnacentral:sRNA from 1 species